rnacentral:lncRNA from 1 species
UUGGGGUGCAAUUUUAAAAGGCACUAUAUUUUUAUAUUCCUUUUCUAAUAUUUCAUUAUUAGUAUACAGAAAUGCAACCAAUUUCUAAAUAUUAAUCUUGUAUCCUGCUACUUUGCUGAAUUCAUCAAUCAGUUUCAGUAGUUUUUGUGUGGAGUGGAGGCCAACUGAUACUGUAUAAAGAAUAGAGUGCAUAGAGUGACUUUUUACCUGUUCUCCAAUUUGGAUACUUUUUAUUUCUUUUGUUUGUCUGAUUGCUGAGGCUUGGACUGCCAAUACUGUUGAAUAAAAGUGGUGAGAGUGGGCAUCCUUGUCUUGUUCCAGAUUUUAGUGGGAAGGCUUUCAACUUUUCUCCAUUGAAUAUUAUAUUCACUGUGGGUUUGUCAUAAAUGGCUUUGAUUAUGCUAAGGUAUGUCCUCACCAUACCCACUUUGGUAAGAGUUUUUAUCAUGAAUGGAUGUUGGACUUUGUCAAAUGCUUUUUCCAAAUCUAUUUGAGAUGAUCAUGUGGUUUUUGACUUUUCUUUUGUUAAUGUGGUGUAUGGUGUUGAUUAAUUGAUUUGUGUAUGUUGAACCAUCCUUGUGAACCUGGGAUUAAUCCCACUUGGUCAUGGUAUAUGAUCUUUUUUAUAUGUUGCUGGAUUUGGUUGGCUAAAAUUUUGUCAAUCAUGUUUGCAUCUAUAUUCAUCAAAAAUAUUUCCUCUUUGGUAGUAUUUUUGUCUGGUUUUGUAAGAUGAUGGUGGCUUCAUAGAAUGUCUUUGGGAAUGUUCCUUCCUCUUCAGCCUUUUGGAAAAUUUUAAGAAGGAUGGGUCUAAGUUCUUCUUUCUAUGCUUUUUUUUUUUUAGAAUUCGCCUGUGAAGCCAUCUGGGUCCUGGACUUUUGUUUGUAGGGAGUGUUUUUAUAACAUAUUCAAUUUCAUUUCUAGUGAUCAGUGUGUUCAGUUGAUCUAUUUCUUCUUGAUUCAGUAUUGGUGGGCUCUAAGUCUCUAGAAAGUGGUCCAUUUCUUCUAGGUCGUCAAAUUUUUUGGCAUGUAAUUGUUCAUAGUAUUCUUAUGGAUUUUUUUUUUUUUUGUAUUUCUGCAGUAUCAAGAUUUUUCAUUUCUUAUUUUGUUUACUUGAGUUCUUGCUCUCCUCCUUAUGGUGAUUCUGCCAGAGGUUUGUCAGUUUUGUUUACCCUUUCAAAGAACCAGCUCUUGGUUUUAUUGAUUUUUUUCCUAUUUUUUUUGAAUCUCUAUCUUAUUGAUUUUCUCUGUGAUCGUUGUGAUUUCCUUCCUUCUGCUGAGUUUAGGUUUUGUUUUUUCUUUUUGUAAUUCUUUUAGGUUGUGGGGUAAGUUGCCAAUUUGAUAUUUUUCCACUUUUUUGAAGAAGGCCUGUAUUAUAUGUACUUCUAAGCACUGCUUUUGCAGCAUCCCAUAGAUUUUGAAUGGUUGUGUUUUCAUUGUCAUUUGUCUCAAGGUAUUUUUUAAUUUCUCUUUUGAUUUCCUCAAUGACCCAAUGGUUUUUUAGUAGCAUGUUGUUUACUCUCCAUGUAGUCAGUUUUUUUCUCAUUUCUUUUCCGUUGGUUGAUUUCUAGUUUCAUGCCAUUGUGGUCAGAGAAGAUACUUGAAAUAAUUUCUAUAUUCUUAAAUUUGUUGAGGUUAUUUUUGUGCCCCAGUAUGUGGUCAAUCUUAAGAAUGUUCCAUGUGCACUUGAAAAGAAUGUAUAUUCUGAUUUUUUUUUUUUUUUUGGCUGUAAUGUCCUGAAAAUGUCAAUUAAGUCUAGCUUUUCCAUGUGUCAUUUAGGACCUCUGUUGCCUUACUGAUUUUCUGUCUAGAGGAUCUGUCCAUUGAUGUAAGUGGGGUGUUAAUGUCUCCUACUAUUAUUGUGUUUCCAUCUAUUUUUCCUUUUAUGUCUGUUAGUAUUCGUUGUAUGUAUUUGGGUGCUCCUAUAUUAGGAGCAUAUAUAUUGAUGAUUGUGAUAAUCAUCUUCUUGAAUGGAUCCGUUUAUCAUUACAUAGUGUCCUUCUUUGUCUUUAUGGCCUUCAUAUUAAAGUCUAUUUUGUCUGAUAUGAGUAUUGCAACUCCUGCUUUCCUUUCUUGUUCAUUGGCAUGAAAUAUCUUUUCCCAUCCCCUUUCAAUCUAUAUAUGUCCUUUGUCCUAAGUUGAGUCUCUUGUAGACAGCAUAUUACAGGCUCUUGCUUUUUUAUCCAAUCUGCCACUCUAUGUGGCAGAUUGGAGCAUUCAGUCUAUUGAUAUUUAAGGUAAUUAUUGAUAAAUAUGUUCUUAUUGCCAUUUUAUACCUUGUUUUCCAGUUGAUUCUAUAUUUCUCCUUUGUUUCUUUUUUGUUGUUGGGUGAUUUCCUUUUAUUUUAUGCUUGUUGCUGUCCUCUCUUUUUUAGUUUUUGUGAAUGUAAUGUUUGGUUUUGAUUUGUAGUUCCCCUGUUUUUUCAAGUAUGUUAACCCCUUGGUAUAUGUUUGCUUUACCUGAUAGUCAUACAGGCUCAAACACAUUCUAAGAUGAAGUCUAGAUUUUCUUACUUUCCUUCCUUACACUUUAUGAUUUUGAAGUCCUUUUUUAAUAUCUUCAUGUUUGUCCCUUUGCUGUUCCUUGUGUUUAUUAUUACUUUUACAAUAGUUUUUUUUUUUUCCUUUUAUAUCUGUAUACUGGAUUAUUUAAGUGAUUGCUUCCCAGUUGUAAUUUCCUCCAUCCUACUUCUUCUUCUAGGAAUACAGUAUUCUCAAAAUUUUUAUUUUCUUUAUUGAAUAGAUCCUCAAAAAUUUCUUUCCAACAAAAGAACAUGGGUAUUAAAUUACUUAAGCCUUCAUAUGGUCAAAGAUUUACCUUUAUUUUGCCUUUAAAGAUUAAAUACAAGCUUUUAAUACAGAUUAAAUACAAAGAUAGUCAAUGGUAUUGGAGAUGAUUUUUUAAGUAAACAUUUUAGAAAUACUUACCUAUCAAGUAUGAAUAGACAGCAUAGAAAGUACAAGAGAAAUGGAGACUGGAAAGGAGAAAAACCAUCAAACAAACAAAAAAGGAGACCAACAUUCAAGAAGGCAAGGACAAUCCAAUGCAUCUAUGAACAUAGU